rnacentral:rRNA from 1 species
AACGAACGCCGGCGGCAGGCUUAACACGUGCAAGUCGAGCGCCCCGCAAGGGGAGCGGCAGACGGGUGAGUAACGCGUGGGAAUCUACCCAUCUCUACGGAAUAACGCAUGGAAACGUGUGCUAAUACCGUAUACGUCCUUCGGGAGAAAGAUUUAUCGGAGAUGGAUGAGCCCGCGUUGGAUUAGCUAGUUGGUGGGGUAAAGGCCUACCGAGGCGACGAUCCAUAGCUGGUCUGAGAGGAUGAUCAGCCACACUGGGACUGAGACACGGCCCAGACUCCUACGGGAGGCAGCAGUGGGGAAUAUUGGACAAUGGGCGCAAGCCUGAUCCAGCCAUGCCGCGUGAGUGAUGAAGGCCCUAGGGUUGUAAAGCUCUUUCACCGGUGAAGAUAAUGACGGUAACCGGAGAAGAAGCCCCGGCUAACUUCGUGCCAGCCGCCGCCGUAACAC